GUACGGAGAAAGACUGUGGACAGACCCGAUGCAUUAAACAGAAGAGAACAAAGGAAAUAAAGCAGCUCUACUAUUUAUAUGCAACAAAGUGCUUUACAAAGCAUACUGAAGUGCAUUCCUUGUUUUAUGGUAUACCUUUUCUUUACUGCAAGCUCUUGAUGUUGGUAGGGCAGGUUUAGAAAGGUAAGAAGGGAAGGAGUUGAGAACAAGAUGCAGAUAAUUUUUGAGGAAAGUGAAACUUCAGGAGAAGCAGAGUGUUUUCCAUAGUAACGAGGUCCCAAAAGAUGCAAAGUGAAGAGAAGAGUGGGAAAAAGAAAUGAGGAAAAGAACUUGAGUAAGUACAUGGAGUUCAAAUUCAGAAACUGCUCCGUGUGAAGGUAAGAAGACAAAGAAACCAGUUAUGGUUCAGUGAUGCACUUCUGGAGACUAGAGAAUGCACAGAACCUGUUAGCUGGCACGAGUUGGUGAGCAAGGGUCUUCAGGAAUGCCGUGAGGACCUUUGGGCAGUGAAUGGGACAGAGCUGCUUCGUUCCAUGAACCUUGUGGGAGCAGGCCACAGAGUAUGCCCCUUGCUGCCGGUGUUAACCCUUGUUUCGGAGGAUGAAUGACACCCUUACGACAGCCUCCUCGUUUCCUGCGGAUCAGGCGAUAUUGCACCAAGCUUGUUCACAGUUGCAGAUUCCCUUCUGUAAGGGGAAUGUGGUGUUAAACUUUGUGCUCGCCCAGUGUGAGAAGGAGCUGCUCACGCGGAUUCACACCCCUAACUCGGACUAUGUGCCGUUCCAGUGUGACAACAGUUGUGGAAAAGGGAGAGGAGAUGGGUGGAGUUGCUAUUUCAGCAGGCAGCUCUUCGCAGAGAAUUUAGAGACAGCUCAUUCCUGCGAAUGCGCACGCUGAAUCGGAUGCAGCUCUGCAUGAGAUUCAUACUCUGCCUUCUGCCUGGACAUCAUCGUCUUUAGAUUCGCCAGGUGGUGCUGCAGCGAGGCCGGAUCUGCUGGCAAGUCACUGGAGGAAGGGAAGCAGUCGCUGUUCUCCGCUGGGACGUGUCCCAUGUUUUCCUGAACCCCCAAAACAUGACUCACAACUGUGUUUGCUUCUUGGGAGUCUUCUGGGUGGAGAGACAGCAACUGUGGAGCUCGGCAGCUGUUUCUCCUGCGAACGUGAAAGCCUUCUCCUGCUGCGAUUACUGCGGGCGUUCCUGUCUGCCACCCUUGCGCCUUCUCCAACCCAUGAGAAACGAUCGCAGUGCAGCCGUUCCCCAGCGCCGGGGCGGCAGCGUAGGUCUCCUGUGCCUCUGCCGAGCUGCGAUGGAGCAGCGCGCAGCCGGCGACCCACGCUCCGAGAGCGGGGAAGGAGCCGGCCUCCCCCAGCCCUGGCAAUCCUCAUGCUCCAAGGAGAUGAUGUGGGGGGAAUCGAGGAGUUAACAGGGCAUAGAAAAUUCAGAGAGUUGCUUUUAAGGUGCGUCACCUGCGGUGCCGUGCUGGAUUCAAGCGGCACAAGCACGUGUUCAGCCUGGCCUGCAAAGCCUUGGCAGCUCUGUCAUGCAGCGGGGAGCUGCUCCGGCCCUGGAGCUGAGGUGCCGUGGCUGCUCCCAGCCUCUCCUGGGACAUCCUGUGCCUGGACCAGGUUUUCAGUAAGCAGGACAGGGGCCUGCAGACUUGAGAAAAAGCUGGCUGUGGUCUUGUGCCUUUAACGCUAAAACUGCCUGUUGGCACUGGGAUGGCAAACAAUUUUUUCUGACGUUUCAUCACUUUAUGAAAAGUGCGAUACAACUGCUCAGUUGUGCAUCAGUUGUGUGAUAAUAUGACUGUGGGAAAAUCAUCCUAACUUCUAGCUUUUAGUGCUCUUCCCCAUCUCCUUUCUUACACUUCUAAGCACUGGUUUAUACGCUUACAUUAGCGAGCACUUUGGUGGGAGAGAGCGCUCUCAUUUUUGGAUUCUGCGAAGUUGCUUACCUGGGCAUUAACCUGGUACUGACGUGCUGUUAGCAGAUAACGUAGAUGAAAUGAGUAUCCUUCCUGCCUGCUCCCCUCAUGCAAGCUCACCGCUAAGGCUGGUGCUGCUUGAAAGCAACACAAGACUCGUCGGCCCCGUUGCCAUCAUGAACAGGAGCGGAGGAGAAGGAUGUUGCCUUUCCGCUUUCCCGUGGAGGUGAGUGUGCCGGCAGUGGGGUUGGCACCGCAGACCUUGUCAGAAGAAAAACUUACCUGCUCAGAAGCUGAUAAGUCCUGCUGUUGCUGCGUGAACAGCACAGAUGGUGUCGGAGCGGAAAGAGGAAGAUAAUGGCACAAAAUGCUGCUUUGAAGGUUGCUCCGGCAGCCAGGGGCAGAGACAAGGGUCCGGCCGCAGGAGAUAGAUAGCUUCUUCGAGCAGGAGGCUCCAUUCUGUGUUUCCAGAUGACAGUCCCAGGUGCAGAUGUUUCCGUGCACUGCAGCGUGGGCCGGCACCAACCUGCAGAAAGGCCUACGCAUGCCUACAGCUCCUCCUGCACUCUUGAAAAUCAUGUCCCGUGAUUCUUCGGACAAUCUUGCAACACCUUUUCCAUAGGGUGACUCUCACAGCUUCUGAGCUUCAGGAUAAGGACUUGGCGUGCUUCAGAGCAACAUAAAAAAGAUAUGGCAGCUGGCAUCUGAUUGACUCCUUGCUUCCUAUGUUAAUUAUAACAUUAAUCAGGCACAGUACCACACAGUAUUGAUUUUUUUUUUUUCCUACUCCCCCUCUAGAUUUACAUUUAUACAUAUGCGCUGCUCUCCUUUCACCUUCUCCGUGGCUACUCUAGGACAAUUCCUUAUAUUAAUUUCCUAACAAAUUAAAGGUCAAUGAUGAAAAGAGUUGUGUAUUUUUUUUUUUCCUUGAGGCAGAGGAAAAACCCUGUUCCAGACUUUAGGCUUGUAUGGAGCUGGGAUGUUUUGAAAAAUUGCUUCUUAUUUUGGCCUGACUUGGAUGGAACUUGUAAUUCUCUGGAAUGACCUGGCCUUGGAACGCAGCACUGCUGCCCUGUGCGGUUAGAACUCAACAUGCUGGAAAUAGUUCCUCCAAGCAAGUUGUGGGAUUUGGCCUCCCUCGACUCUGGUCUUAUGCCAGCUGCCUGUUUCUGUGCAUCAUUUCUGAUCUCUGAAAGAGAGAACAGAGUAUGCUCAGUUCAUAGUUUGUAAGGUAACACUGGUGCUGUGGACAGAGAAGAUGUGACUGUUCCAAAAAGGAUGUCGAAUUACCCAAGCAUAUGCAUGUUUCAGAUUACUAGAUAAAAGCUCAUAACUUUCUUGUCCCAAAAGCUGGUGAUAAUUGGGCUCUGUUCUUGUAAACCACAUUUAUUGGCACUUUCUGCUCUUUAACCUGGUGGUAGAGACAAAGUGCUAGCAAGGGCGAAACCACAGUCACCUGCAGGCAGCUGCACCUAGCUUACGGAAGAGGCGUUGGGCAUCUCCUUAUCCCAGCCACAACUCUUUGGGUGGUGUGUUGAAAUAGCUGUGUGCAGUGUGUGCAGAGAGCCAAGUGCUUCUCAAAAUCUGCUAGAGACAAGCAAAAACCAGAGAGGUGGGGAAAAGUAAUACCUAAAAACCAGCACUGCCUACUCUGAACUCACCUCCUGACCUCUGAGCUAAUUAUUUAUUGUGCUGGAUAUGUUGAAUAAAUGGAAACAAAGAAAAUCUCUCUCCA
rnacentral:lncRNA from 1 species